rnacentral:lncRNA from 1 species
CCAUUUACUUGUUAAAAGACAUAUGGGUUAUUUCCAGUUUGGGGCUAUUACAAAUAAAGCUGCUAUGAACAUUCAUGUAUAUAUUUCUGUGUGAACAAAAGUUUUCAUUUCUCUAGUGUAAACAUCCAGGAGUAAGACUGCUGGGUCACACGGUACCUGGGACUCCACCCAAUAAAAAUAAUAAAUCUCAUGAGCCACACACUCUGCAGUCCAGAAAUCACCUCUGGUGA